CUUUAGGGCUAGCCUCAAGUGAUGAUUAUUGGAGGUAGAGCACUGUUUGGACGAGGGGCCCCUCUCGGGUUACCGAAUUCAGACAAACUCCGAAUGCCAAUUAAUUUAACUUGGGAGUCAGAACAUGGGUGAUAAGGUCCGUGUUCGAAAGGGAAACAGCCCAGACCACCAGCUAAGGUCCCAAAAUAUAUGUUAAGUGGAAAAGGAUGUGGCGUUGCCCAGACAACUAGGAUGUUGGCUUAGAAGCAGCCAUCAUUUAAAGAGUGCGUAAUAGCUCACUAGUCGAGUGACACUGCGCCGAAAAUGUACCGGGGCUAAACAUAUUACCGAAGCUGUGGAUUGUCCUUUGGACAAUGGUAGGAGAGCGUUCUAAGGGCGUUGAAGCAUGAUCGUAAGGACAUGUGGAGCGCUUAGAAGUGAGAAUGCCGGUGUGAGUAGCGAAAGACGGGUGAGAAUCCCGUCCACCGAUUGACUAAGGUUUCCAGAGGAAGGCUCGUCCGCUCUGGGUUAGUCGGGUCCUAAGCUGAGGCCGACAGGCGUAGGCGAUGGAUAACAGGUUGAUAUUCCUGUACCACCUAUAAUCGUUUUAAUCGAUGGGGGGACGCAGUAGGAUAGGCGAAGCGUGCGAUUGGAUUGCACGUCUAAGCAGUAAGGCUGAGUAUUAGGCAAAUCCGGUACUCGUUAAGGCUGAGCUGUGAUGGGGAGAAGACAUUGUGUCUUCGAGUCGUUGAUUUCACACUGCCGAGAAAAGCCUCUAGAUAGAAAAUAGGUGCCCGUACCGCAAACCGACACAGGUAGUCAAGAUGAGAAUUCUAAGGUGAGCGAGCGAACUCUCGUUAAGGAACUCGGCAAAAUGACCCCGUAACUUCGGGAGAAGGGGUGCUCUUUAGGGUUAACGCCCAGAAGAGCCGCAGUGAAUAGGCCCAAGCGACUGUUUAUCAAAAACACAGGUCUCUGCUAAACCGUAAGGUGAUGUAUAGGGGCUGACGCCUGCCCGGUGCUGGAAGGUUAAGAGGAGUGGUUAGCUUCUGCGAAGCUACGAAUCGAAGCCCCAGUAAACGGCGGCCGUAACUAUAACGGUCCUAAGGUAGCGAAAUUCCUUGUCGGGUAAGUUCCGACCCGCACGAAAGGCGUAACGAUUUGGGCACUGUCUCAACGAGAGACUCGGUGAAAUCAUAGUACCUGUGAAGAUGCAGGUUACCCGCGACAGGACGGAAAGACCCCGUGGAGCUUUACUGUAGCCUGAUAUUGAAAUUCGGCACAG
rnacentral:rRNA from 1 species